CUCAGAUGAUCAUUUAGCCUGACACUGGGAAGUCGCCGCUCUAUUUAUGUCAUGCAGACCCACUUGCAAUGAAUCUGUCUCUCUGCGGGGAACACAGAUCAUUGCUCUCAAGGGCACGUGUGCAGGGCCCUUUAAGUAAGGUGCUGCAUCUGUAAGCGUAGGAGCCUGGAGCCAAACCACAAAGUGAUUCUAUCUAUUGUUGGAGGAACCACACCUACAGAGCAGAGGGUGUAAAACCUGAUGCAAAGGAAUGUCUCUGCUCAGUGAGGCAGAGAUGGGGACAUGGAUAUUCUGGUACAUGGUCAUUUCUCUCGAGGUAGCAAGAUACUCAGGUGCUUGGAUCAACCAAACACAGAGUCUGGUUCUGGAGAAGGGAUACCGAGCCCAGCUCACAUGUCAACAAACCUAUGGGCACAACAGCAUGUUCUGGUACCGGCAGGAUCCAGGUCAGGGCCUGCAGCUGCUCUUUGUCUUUGUUAAUAAAGACCAAACAGACAAAGGCAAUGUCACUAAUCGAUACCGAGCAGAACAGCGACAGGCUGGGGUCCUUCACUUGGAUAUCUCUCCUGUAGCACCAGAGGACUCAGCUGUGUAUUUCUGUGCCAGCAGUUUAGACACAGUGCUUCGCAGGCGCCUCCUCCCCCUACAAAAUCCUCCUCCGCUGCUCCUUCCCAGAGAGGAGCUUCCCUGUGGUCUUGCCUCAUAA